UACGUAGGGGGCAAGCGUUGUCCGGAAUCAUUGGGCGUAAAGAGCGUGUAGGCGGCCAGAUAAGUCCGCUGUGAAAUCUCGAGGCUCAACUUCGAGCUGUCGGUGGAAACUGUCUGGCUAGAGUCCGGAAGAGGAGAAUGGAAUUCCUGGUGUAGCGGUGAAAUGCGCAGAUAUCAGGAAGAACACCCGUGGCGAAGGCGGCUCUCUGGGACGUGACUGACGCUGAGACGCGAAAGCGUGGGGAGCGAACAGG
rnacentral:rRNA from 1 species